rnacentral:lncRNA from 1 species
GGGCCUCGAGGUGGAGUGGAGACUUAAACAUGGCUUAUGCUCUUCUUCAGCCGUCCUCCCCUGCCCUCCCGAGACCAUUGGGCACCUUUUACCUGCUGAGAGCUCCUGGCAGGAACCUGGGCACAGGAAUAGGCACCAGGCACGGAAGCUGACAUGGAGGCCAGGAGCACGAGAAGCUGGGGGAGGGUCUGUGCCCGCUCUAAGGACGGUGGCCAAGCACUAUUCCUAACUGUUCCCAGGUUAGAGUGGGUGCAGGCCCAGCAGCCAGAGGUCAAGUGAAAAGAUGGGGCUCUGUCCACAGUGUGGCUUCCAGGGCGAGACCCUCUGGCCUGUCACUCAAAGUGGUGCUGCCUCAAAGCCCAGACUCGUGGAACUCUGGGGAAACCAUAGCAAUUGCACUGAUGGGGGCCACGUGUUCAAGAUUUUUGCUCCUCAGCAAGCAUUUCUGGUGCCUGCUUGGUGCAUAGCCAGACCCAGGGGGUCGCUGGAUGGGCAGCCAGAGAGAUGAGCCAAGCACUGGGACAACACAGAAGACAUGUGACUGUGGCCCACAGGUGAAGCAGAUACAGUCUGAUUGACUGUGAGGGCACAGGGGGAGUGGGCAGACUGCUGGGCGAGGGGCAGGGGGUAGGAGAAGAGACCAGCUAGUUAGAGACGACCUCGAAUGGCCCAGGCCAGACACGCAAGGUUUGGGGUCUAAAGCCAGUUUGACACUGGAGCUGAGAUUAUCAGGUUUUGUUUUGUUUUGUUUUGUUUUGUUUUUUGGGUUUUUUUUUUUUUUUUUGCCUUUGAGGGCCACGCCCAUGGCAUAUGGAGUUUCCCAGGCUAGAGGUCUAAUCAGAGCUACAGCUGCCGGCCUACACCACAGCCACAGCUAUGUGGGAUCCAAGCCACAUCUGCAACCUACACUGCCGCUCAUAGCAAUGUCAGAUCCUUAACCCACUGAGCGAUUGAUUGAACCUGCAUCCUCAUGGAUCCUAGUCGGGUUCCUUAACUGCUGAGCCAUGAAGGGAACUUUGAGAUUAUCCAUUUUGUGUUUUAGACAGAUCGCCCUGGGGCCUAAGGAUGGGGGGAGGAGGAUUGGAAGGGACAAAAAUGAGACCAGGGGGCCAGGAAGGCUGUGGUAAGUCUGGACGAGGAGCGAUGAGUUGGGCCAGAAAAGGACAGUGUGGGGCCAGUGAUGGAGGAAAAAUCAUCCAUAGACUGAUUGGGGGGGAGGAUUGGGGGUUGAGGGACCUCUGGCUUGCGGCUUGGAGGACAUUAUAGCCCCUGCUGGACCCACUUGGAUGGCUCCCCCAAGAAAGGAGCUGCAGAGAACACAAAAUCCGAUCCCCAUGCCUGCAAGUGAAGGAAGAGACGUCUUACUGUCUUCAGCAAGAGCCUCUGAAGGACUGCCAGUCUCUGUCCAGCCCAGGGUCGCAUCAUCCAACCCUUUGCUGUCCAUCUCCCAGCGCUCCUUCCGGUAAGAGGUGGGGGCUACCUGAGCCCCACAAAAGGGAGAUUUCAGGCUCAGAGCCUCGGAGAGACAAGCCACAGCCAUUGAUAUGCUCUUUGGGAGGGGGGGCUCUUGACCCAGAGGCAGAUCCUCAGGAAGGCUGGGUUGGAGCCCUUGCACUUGACCAAAGGGGACCUGGUCUCCGAGGGCUCUGGGGUACUCCAAGGGUUCCAGGUCUUUCUGGGAGGGUGACCAGGCUGUAACACAUGGGAUGGGUUUUCCCUUCCUCAGCCACCCACCAGCCAGACUAAGAAGUGGGAAACGCUCUGUGUCCUGCCUGCAGACGUGAGGCUGAACUUGCUCCAAGGAGGUCCUCCCUGCCCUAGGAACAGAGGUAUGUGUGUUGGGGCAGGGCGGGGGCUCCACCCCUGUGCCUCCCCAUCAAAGCGGAAAGCUGGGUAUGUUGUGGCCCUGAAGGUGUAAAUUUCCUUCAGAAAUGGAAUUGGUGUACCAGCCAUGAUUCAAGUUGUGUCUUCUGGUGGGCGCUUCUAACUCAGCCACGUUUGAGCCCUGUUGGGGUUGGAGAAGUAAGAUUCCUGGCACCUAGGGGGCUCUUAUAUGCUUAGCAUUAAGACAGCAAAGGAGUACACUAACGCCAAUUUUGAGGAACGAAUCUCAAUCAUUCACCCCAAAUCCUUUAAAAAGAUGCAUCUGGCCAAUACUUCCAUCCCGGGAGUGGGAGGUUUUCUGCAGUGCCCACCCCCCAAAAAAAAGCCAGGCGUUCCUAAUCUCUUUUGUGUCUCAGAGCCCCCUGGCAGUCUGGUGAAGGGUGGGCAUGCCCCCCCCAGAAUGAUGUUUUAAAAAUCAUGAAGUAAAAUAUGUAGGCUUGCAAAGGAUAACAAUUAUAUGGAAAUCCAGCAAAAAUAUUAAACAGAGUCAAAAGGUAAUCAAAAUAUGGUUUUU